rnacentral:tRNA from 1 species
GGCUGAGUAGCUCAGUUGGUGAGAGCGUGCGGCUCAUACCCGCAAGGUCGACAGUUCAAAUCUGUCCUCAGCUA